CACGUGAUUUCUUCUAAUGACUGAGAUAAUUUAUUGUUGGCUUGUUAUAAAUACUACGCGUGCAGGACUUUGACAACAAGUGAAUUAUUGAAUAGUUGAAAAAAUGAUUAAACUACUGGGAUUAGCAGUCGUCACCAUUAUGGUUGUUGCUUCGAUGGUGAUGGCUGAUCAAUAUCGAGGAUGUACGGUGGCCGGAAAAAAAUGUGUGACACACAACGAAUGUUGCUCAGAUUAUUGUUUAUUCGUGUGGUCAACAUAUAGUGUGCAGCCAAAAUAGGAUGAAUAUCGCACCAACGCUGUGUAUUGAAUAACAAAAUAAA